CAGGAAAUAAAACAUUAGUUGUCCAAAAAGAAUGUAUGCUGUUCCCCGAAAAAGCAUCCAGAUAAAGGAGCUGGACAUCCACGCUUGAGAAGUGACAUACAACCAGAGGCAGUAGGAACUAACCAGUGGGGGAUAAAUGCAUCUGGAUUUCCUCAACCCCACAAAGGAGAUGGUACCUGUCACCAUUGGAGUGGCCACUGCUAAGGACAUGACCAGCAACAGGCCUCAAACCAGAGAAGGUGAUGAGGGAGAGGCACCCAAGAGCUGAUGCCUGGCUAGGCAGUGGUGAAAAAGCAUGAGGUGGAAGAGCAGGAAGACAGUGAUAAAGAAGGAUUGCCAUCACUCGCUCUCACUGUCUCUCAGAUACUGACACUUCUGUACUUUGGAGCGUAGUUUCAAGGUGAGACCUGCACAUCAACUGCAACAGGACAUAGGUACAAUGAAAUCAAAGUAUGCCGAAAAAUGUAACACGCAUCAUCAGGGAAAUGUUACUGGCAUUUAAUCUCUGGGAAAAAUAAAGACUGAUGCAAGAAAUUUUGUUCUUUCAUAAGGAUAUGUGGCGAUAAGCCCAAUUCUAAGGAAAUUUCUAGAACAUCAAUAAAACAGAACUUGGACAACCCAAGGGUAACCCGUUUUCAAACUGCAAGGUCAUAAGUUUUAUUCCAAGGCUGCCUGUCAUUUGUUGAGCAAGUUCAGUCAGCUCUUAGCUAGUUUGCUAAACCGAGUUUGUCAAGAUACAACAGCAGGGGUUUGAAUAAACUGCCUACAUCUGACCCAUUCAAUUUGAAACUAACCUUCCGUCCAGUAAUGAUGAAGCGGCACUGAUGGGAAUCAGGACACCUCUCAACUGGAGAAAAAUGUGGGUGACAACCAGUUCAAGGGGGAGGGAAAAUUCAAGGGUUCAUGUCUUUCUUUUAACAAUCCAAAAUACUAGCUGUUCCUGGCUAUCACUUCUUAAUCUUUUUAGUAUGUGCAUGCAUCCAAUUAUUCUGAUAUACGAUAUAUAAAUCUGAUAUAUGUGAUUAUUUGUAAUUGUCACUUAUACUGGGUAGAAUUAAAAUUUGUUUAUUUAAACCCUCA